rnacentral:rRNA from 1 species
GGAUCAUUAAAGAGUUGCAAAACUCCCAUAACCCUUGUGAACCUACCCAUAUGUCGUUGCUUCGGCGGGCAGUCCACCCCCCUCGCGGGGGCGGGCCUCGCCUCCCCUCGGGGGGGUGUCCGCCGGAGGGACCAACCAUAAACUCUUGCAUUUAGUGGCAUCUCUGAGUAUAUAUCAAAAUAAGUUAAAACUUUCAACAACGGAUCUCUUGGUUCUGGCAUCGAUGAAGAACGCAGCGAAAUGCGAUAAGUAAUGUGAAUUGCAGAAUUCAGUGAAUCAUCGAAUCUUUGAACGCACAUUGCGCCCGCCAGUAUUCUGGCGGGCAUGCCUGUUCGAGCGUCAUUUCAACCCUCAAGCCCAGCUUGGUGUUGGGGCUCUGCGGCCUGCCGCAGUCCCCGAAAAUCAGUGGCGGGCUCGCUAUAACUCCGAGCGUAGUAACAUACAUCGUUCUGGAAGAGUGGCGGGCGCUUGCCGUUAAACCCCCCAAUUUUCUAAGGUUGACCUCGGAUCAGGUAGGAAUACCCGCUGAACUUAAGCAUAUCAAUAAGCGGAGGAAAAGAAACCAACAGGGAUUGCCCCAGUAGCGGCGAGCGAAGCGGCAACAGCUCAAAUUUGAAAUCUGGCUUCGGCCCGAGUUGUAAUUUGUAGAGGAUGCUUUUGGCACGGCUCCUUCUGAGUCCACUGGAACGUGGCGCCAGAGAGGGUGAGAGCCCCGUAUAGUCGGACGCCUAGCCUUUGUAAAGCUCCUUCGACGAGUCGAGUAGUUUGGGAAUGCUGCUCUAAAUGGGAGGUAAAUGUCUUCUAAAGCUAAAUACCGGCCAGAGACCGAUAGCGCACAAGUAGAGUGAUCGAAAGAUGAAAAGCACUUUGAAAAGAGGGUUAAAUAGCACGUGAAAUUGUUGAAAGGGAAGCGCUUAUGACCAGACUUGUGCCGGGCGGAUCAUCCAGCGUUCUCGCUGGUGCACUCUGCCCGGUUCAGGCCAGCAUCGGUUCUGGCGGGGGCAUAAAGGCCGCAGGAAUGUAUCUCCCCCGGGAGUGUUAUAGCCUGUGGUGUAAUACCCCCGCUGGGACCGAGGACCGCGCU